rnacentral:rRNA from 1 species
AGAGUUUGAUCCUGGCUCAGAUUGAACGCUGGCGGCAUGCUUUACACAUGCAAGUCGAACGGUAACAGGUCUUCGGAUGCUGACGAGUGGCGAACGGGUGAGUAAUACAUCGGAACGUGCCUAGUAGUGGGGGAUAACUACUCGAAAGAGUAGCUAAUACCGCAUGAGAUCUACGGAUGAAAGCAGGGGACCUUUGGGCCUUGUGCUACUAGAGCGGCUGAUGGCAGAUUAGGUAGUUGGUGGGGUAAAGGCUUACCAAGCCUGCGAUCUGUAGCUGGUCUGAGAGGACGACCAGCCACACUGGGACUGAGACACGGCCCAGACUCCUACGGGAGGCAGCAGUGGGGAAUUUUGGACAAUGGGCGAAAGCCUGAUCCAGCAAUGCCGCGUGCAGGAUGAAGGCCCUCGGGUUGUAAACUGCUUUUGUACGGAACGAAAAGCCUGGGGCUAAUAUCCCCGGGUCAUGACGGUACCGUAAGAAUAAGCACCGGCUAACUACGUGCCAGCAGCCGCGGUAAUACGUAGGGUGCAAGCGUUAAUCGGAAUUACUGGGCGUAAAGCGUGCGCAGGCGGUUUUGUAAGACAGUGGUGAAAUCCCCGGGCUCAACCUGGGAACUGCCAUUGUGACUGCAAGGCUAGAGUGCGGCAGAGGGGGAUGGAAUUCCGCGUGUAGCAGUGAAAUGCGUAGAUAUGCGGAGGAACACCGAUGGCGAAAGCAAUCCCCUGGG